GAUGAACGCUAGCUACAGGCUUAACACAUGCAAGUCGAGGGGCAGCAUGAUUGAAGCUUGCUUCAAUCGAUGGCGGCCGGCGCACGGGUGAGUAACACGUAUCCAACCUGCCGAUAACUCGGGGAUAGCCUUUCGAAAGAAAGAUUAAUACCCGAUAGUAUAGUAUUUCCGCAUGGUUUCACUAUUAAAGAACUUCGGUUAUCGAUGGGGAUGCGUUCCAUUAGAUAGUUGGCGGGGUAACGGCCCACCAAGUCAACGAUGGAUAGGGGUUCUGAGAGGAAGGUCCCCCACAUUGGAACUGAGACACGGUCCAAACUCCUACGGGAGGCAGCAGUGAGGAAUAUUGGUCAAUGGACGAGAGUCUGAACCAGCCAAGUAGCGUGAAGGAUGACUGCCCUAUGGGUUGUAAACUUCUUUUAUACGGGAAUAAAGUGGAGUAUGCAUACUCCUUUGUAUGUACCGUAUGAAUAAGAAUCGGCUAACUCCGUG
rnacentral:rRNA from 1 species